rnacentral:lncRNA from 1 species
AGAGAUGAUGGCCGCACAACAAAGUAGUUGAGACCACUCACUUGUUCUUGCAGCAUCCUCAAUCGUGCUCAUGGCUCUGCAAGUUGGUCUCAAGGAAGGGGAGCUGAUGGAACAUGGAAUCAUCACAUCUGUUACACAUGGAGUAAUGUCAGUUAGUUUUCACACAAUCCUUAUUCUAUCUGUUGCAUGUUUACAUCAAACCACCUUUGAUCAUGGUAUAAUUAUAGUAGGAGUAUUUAUAAUUACUGAAGUUGUGACUAACAGGGACUAAAAUAGCAAUUAGACAUUAGAUUGUAACAAAGUUUCAACCAAGAUGCCCCAGCAGCAGAUCAAGAUUCUAAAAAGAACUAUAAUUUGAGCAAAUCAAAUGAUGGUCACAAAAUGCCUCUUUCAGCAAUAACUAUUUAUUUAUCUGGAAAAAUCAUGGAGUGAGCGCACCCCGCAGGUGCUCAACUGGUAGGUUCUCUAGCUUGGCAUCAGGGCAUCCCAGGUUUGGGUCCUGUGCUUACAUGAUGCAUAGUCCUUGGGGGAGGGGUCAUG